rnacentral:rRNA from 1 species
AUUGAACGCUGGCGGCAUGCCUUACACAUGCAAGUCGAACGGCAGCGGGCCCUUCGGGGUGCCGGCGAGUGGCGAACGGGUGAGUAAUGCAUCGGAACGUACCCGGGAGAGGGGGAUAACCGGCCGAAAGGCUGGCUAAUACCGCAUGAACUCGGAAGAGCAAAGCGGGGGACCUUCGGGCCUCGCGCUCUCGGAGCGGCCGAUGUCCGAUUAGGCUAGUUGGUGGGGUAAAGGCCCACCAAGGCGACGAUCGGUAGCGGGUCUGAGAGGACGAUCCGCCACACUGGGACUGAGACACGGCCCAGACUCCUACGGGAGGCAGCAGUGGGGAAUCUUGGACAAUGGGCGCAAGCCUGAUCCAGCGAUGCCGCGUGGGUGAAGAAGGCCUUCGGGUUGUAAAGCCCUUUCGGCGGGGAAGAAAUCGGUCAGGCGAAUAGUCUGGCCGGAUGACGGUACCCGCAGAAGAAGCACCGGCUAACUACGUG